GUAGUAGUUCAUUUAAAGGAAAGGGAAAAAGCUGAGAAUGGGAAGUCUUCAGUGAGAGAAGCUGAGACAAAACUCCAGGCCAGGACUGUGAAAUCCAAUCAUUCCUGAGAGCCCCACGAAAUCAGCUUUGCUUGCAGCUGCUCACGCCACCACUGAUUCUUGCUGUUGCUUUUUCAGCACGUAACAGGGGAACAAGUACACCUAAUCUGGUACUCUGCUUCACAGUGAGCUCUGUGAAUAGGAUCACAGAGAGGCUCAACGGACCAUAGAGAUGCUCUCAUUAGAAAUCCUCUCAUUAACAAAAGAGUUCCAGGAAAUAAAUCAAAUUAAAACUCAGAGCAAGUUUUGCUUGCACCUUCCAUGCAAGUUAUGGUGGCCAUGUGGAAAGAAUGAACUCAUGGGAAAGAGAUGAGUUGCUCUGCGCUGUGGAUAAAACUACUGGAUUUUAAACCAGUUUGUCUGCUAAGCCCGUAUUAUACUGAAGAUGACAUUGAGGACUUCCAACCCAUUUUGAACCAUUUGCCACGUCUUUCUAUUCUACUUUAUUCUGCAGAACUGGAAAACUUUUCUUGCACAUCCAUAUUGCACAAACCACUUUGGUGCGUAUCAGCCCUUAUCCAAAUUCUCUUUGAAAUACCAUUUUUAUUGAAUUCUAAUGGCAGUCUAUUCCUGCACACUUUAAAUAUUGCAUGAUUACCUUGCUAUGGAGUAUCUUGAGGCUGAUGAAUUUCAGAUAAGGAGCUGAAAAAAAUACAUAUUUAUAAUUAAACUAACUAAUAAACUGUAAAGCUUGUAACAUAUCUUAGCUAGUACAGUCUUUGUAUUGCACUUAAAAUCAUGACUAGAACAAGAAGGGCCACACAAAUAUAUGGCUCUUCCUGUUAAAGGAAUAGCUGCAUUUUAGGAAGAUCAGUGAUCGUGCUUAUCACACAGAUCACAUGCCAUAUACUGUCAGUGCAUUAAAGAAUCACGCAGAGAAAUAGAUCUGAAAUAUAAUCAUCUCUUUUGUUGUCAGCAUCAAUCAUGUCUUUUCAGCUUUUCUUUCAGGAACGAUUCGACUGGUUGGGAACUAACUGUUGGGUUUAUUAUUUCACUUUAAUUUACUUCACUAUAAAUAUACCUCAUGGUCAUGCA